rnacentral:rRNA from 1 species
AUGUGGUCACAAUUCCCAAUAGAGAAGCAGACAUACAAGACAUAUACUAGAGAUCUUUACUGCAAGUUCCGUGAUGAGUUUUCGAUGAUUGGACGGUACAAUGCAUUCCAAAUUGGUGUGGAAACGUUUGAGCUGAGACCAAAUACGGAAUGGGUUGUGAAGUAUGGUUCCAGGAACUACUUGGUGAUGGCAAAAAUACCCGAGGGACAAUUUUCGUGUGAGUGUACCAAAAUGGAGAGGGAUGGCAUCCUUUGUUGUCACAUACUGAAAGUGUUCACACAUAUUGGGCUUGAUGUCAUCUCGGAGCAGUACAUGUUGACGCAUUGGAUGCCAAUUGCUGUGCCAAGUGUGCCAAGUGCCACUAGCCAGCAACCUGAUGUAAUGCCUCCAGCCUCUUUAAAGGAAAUUAGGCAUGCUAACAUGACCUCAGACUUCCAAAAACUAGCAAAGUUUGCUUGUGGUUCUGAUGCAGCAAAAGGCAUUGUUGAUAAACACAUGCGUGCAGCGCGGACAGAGAUUGUGCAGCUGAACAAGUCUAGAAGGAAAAAAGGGCUGCAAGAGAGGCAGGUCCAUCCGCUGGUGAUAACAACCAGGAUCCUCCCGUGCCGCCUACAUCUAUAG